UCAAGAGCAGGCUGGAGAAUAUGGUGAAACCCAUCUUUACAAAGAAUACAAAACAUUAGCCAGGCAUGUUCCUUUGCCCCUAUAGUCCCAACUGCUCAGGAGGCUUAGGUGCGAGGAUUGGCUCAGAUGAUCCUCCCACUCAUUCACUUUUCUCAGGCUAGACUCUCUCUCGUUUUCAUUGCCUUGUCUUAGCUGUUAAUAAGAAGUCUCUGGCCAGGGUCGCUGGCUCACAUCUGUAAUCCGACAACUUUGGGAGGGUAAGGUUGGCGGAUCACCUGAGGUCAGGAGUUCGAAAGCAGCCUGGCCAACAUGGCAAAAUUGCAUCUCUACUAAAAAUACAAAAAAUAGCUGGCAUGGUGGUUUGUGCCUGUAAUCCCAGCUACUUGGGAAGCUGAGCCACGAAAAUCACUUGAACCCAGGAGGUACAGGUUGCAGUGAGCUGAGAUCGUGCCACUGCACUCCAGCCUGGGCGACAGAGUGAGACUCCCUCUCAAACAAAACAUAAAAAACCAAAACCAACCAACCAGUCAAACGAAAAAUUUAAUGAAACAAAAAACAAUCUCUUGAGCUACACAGAAACAUUGGCCUCUCAUGGGGUAAAAAGCUCAGAGCCCAGCCUUGCUUUAUGGAAACUUCUAAGCAAGAAAAGGGUGGAAGUGUUUGUGUCCUGAUUUCAAGGUGACUGCGUAGCUCAGACACGUUGACUUAAAGGAGAUCAAGAGUGGAGAUGAGAAGAGUGAAACCAGGGAAACAGCAUCUUCAAAUCAGUGGACGAGGCUGUCAGUGACAUCCCUCAGUCCUGAUUCAACCUAUUUGAUUUCACCAGUUAUUAACCCAUCAUGUGUUUGGAUUUUUUCUCCCCAGUCCCUGGCUCCACCUCUUCUGCCACAAACAUCAGCAUGGUGGUAUCUGCUGGUCCUUGGCCAAGUGAGAAGUCAGAGAUGAACACUCCAGAAAUCAACGAGAAACUGCGCCCGCAGUUGGGAGAAAAGAAAGAACAGUUUAGAAACACUAGAGAGAAAUUUCUUGUAACUCAAGUGGCCUACUUCCUGGCCAACCAGCAGAACGGUUAUAACUAUGAAGAGUGCAAAGACCUCCUAAAAUCUAUGCUGCGGGAUGAGCUUCAGUUGAAGGAGGAGAAGCUUGCAGAGCAGCUCGGGCAAGCUGAAGAGCUCAGGCAAUAUAAAGUCCUGGUUCAGUCUCAGGAACGAGAGCUGAGCCAGUUAAGGGAGAAGUUGCGGGAAGGGAGAGAUGCCUCCCGCGCAUUGAAUCAGCAUCUCCAGACCCUCCUCACUCCGGAUGAGCCGGCCAACUCCCAGAGGUGGGAAUUCCGAGAACAGCUGGCCGAGGGCUGUAGGCUGGCACAGCACCUCGUCCGAAAGCUCACCACAGAAAAUGAUGAAGGUGAGGAUGAAGAUGUUAAAGUUGAUGACACUGAGUAAGUACAGGAAUCACGUGCCCCAGGUAACACUGAAUAAUCAGGUGCAAGUAAUGGGUUUUAAUAUAUGAAAAAGGUCUAGGAGGUACACCCUGUCUCUGGCAUCUACAAUGGGCCAAAAGCCUACAUUCCCUUGGCCACAGUAUGAGAAAUUCAACCCAGCUUAGACACAGGAUGUGGCAGCUGUUGUGUUUCUCUGUGUGGUGAGUGUCAUAUCUGUACCAAACAGGGAUAGCUGAGUCUUCAUCUUUCUCAGCUCCUAUCUCUCCAGGGAAAUGAACACCGGUUGGUCUCUUCCUCUCUGUCUCCCAUGGCCGCCAUGCUCUGUUGCAGAGAGAAGAGGAUUGCCUGUUCCCUCCUAAAGGGAACCUCCUGCUUUCUGUGACCACUGUCUUAAUGCCUCCCAUCAAAACCUGCUAGGUCUCCCUGGGGUCCGAUCCCUCUGUAUUUAAUCUUCUGGCAUCUCUAUCUCACCUCAUCAGGGAGGUGCGGAAGGCAGAAGAAAAGGAAGUCCCUGAGGACUCAGUGGAGGAAUGUGCCAUCACUUGUUCAAAUAGCUAUGGCCCUUCUGAGUCCAAUCAGCCUCACAAGAACUCCGAAGUCACAUUUAAGGAAGACCAAAUGGACUUGACUCUGCUUAUAGACCGUGAAUCGUCUCCUGAUGUACGGCAGGAUGCUCUAAACCUUGUCGCAGGUAGCCUCUAUUUUCCUUGUGUCUCAUACCUCUGUCUAGACUACGGAAGAUCCAUUGUGAGGACAGGCUAUAUACGUACAUAUUGGUUUGCUCAGCAACUAGGAUGGAGCUAGGUGCGGUGACUCACACAUAUAUUCGCAGCACUUUGGGAGGCCCAAGUGGGAGGAUCAUUUGAAUUCAGGAGUUCAAGAGCAGGCUGGACAAUAUGGUGAAACCCAUCUUUACAAUGAAUACAAAACAUUAGCCAGGCAUGUUCCUUUGCCCUUAUAGUCCUAUCUGCUCAGGAGGCUUAGAUGCGAGGAUUGGCUCAGAUGAUCCUCCCACCCUAAUUCACUUUUCUCAGGCUAGACUCUCUCCUUUUCAUUGGCUUGUCUUAGCUGUUAAUAAGAAGUCUCUGGCCAGGGUCGCUGGGCUCACAUCUGGAAUCCCAGCACUUUGGGAGGACAAGGUGGGUGGAUCACCUGAGGUCAGGAGUUCGAAAGCAGCCUGGCCAACAUGGUGAAAUUGCAUCUCUACUAAAAAUACAAAAAAUAGCUGGCAUGGUGGUUGGUGCCUGUACUGCCAGCUACUUGGGAGGCUGAGGCAUGAGAAUCACUUGAACCCAGGAGGCAGAGGUUGCAGUGAGCUGAGAUCGUGCCACCAGCCUGGGCGACACAGUGAGACUCCCUCUCAAACAAAACAUAAAAAACCAAAACCAACCAACCAAUCAAACAAAAAAAUUAACGAAAC
rnacentral:lncRNA from 10 species